GCUGGCGNUUAUGCUUACAAAUGCAAGNNNNNAACGCAGAAAGAGGUCUUCGGACCUUGUAGUAGAGUGGCGGACGGGUGAGUAACGCGUAGGAAUCUGCCUGGUAGUGGGGGAUAGCCCGGAGAAAAUCCGGAUUAAUACCGCAUACGCCCUACGGGGGAAAGCAGGGGAUCUUCGGACCUUGCGCUAUCAGAUGAGCCUGCGUCGGAUUAGCUAGUUGGUGGGGUAAUGGCCUACCAAGGCGACGAUCCGUAGCUGGUCUGAGAGGACGAUCAGCCACACUGGGACUGAGACACGGCCCAGACUCCUACGGGAGGCAGCAGUGGGGAAUAUUGGACAAUGAGCGAAAGCUUGAUCCAGCAAUACCGCGUGUGUGAAGAAGGCCUGCGGGUUGUAAAGCACUUUCAGUGGGGAAGAAAAGCUCAAGGUUAAUACCCUUGGGUNCUUGACGUUACCCACAGAAGAAGCACCGGCUAACUCCGNGCCAGCAGCCGCGGUAAUACGGAGGGUGCGAGCGUUAAUCGGAAUUACUGGGCGUAAAGCGCGCGUAGGCGUUUGGUCAGUCAGAUGUGAAAA
rnacentral:rRNA from 1 species